AACACCAAGCAAGAAAACACCAAGCAGUCAAAGAAUAAAAAUCCUGUAGAUAAACAGCAGAGCAAAAGCACAGAAAAGAGAAAACCUAGGACAAACACAACGAAGAAAAAAAGUGAAAAAAAAGUACAUACUUCAGGAUUUCAAAAGAGUGCCAGUAAAUCAAGUAGAC